UAUGGGCCACCCCUGUGCCAGUGUGGAACUUCUGGCCACUUGCAGCAGGGAUCCUGCAAAACAACUGGAAUGUCUCAUAAAAAAAGGGAGCAACCAGAAUAGCUGAUGACAAGUCAAGACUUAAGAGUUUAAACCUAUAUCUUACUAAGUGAAAACUCAAAGUACUGUAGAACCAAAACCUGCGUGGGACUCCCAGGGGCAAAGCCCACCUGAAAAUGCCUUGCUAGGAGGCAGAGCAUUUUAUCAAAUGGCAACGUACAGAGAGAGAGACUCCAGAGCAACCAGCACUGACACAGGCAAGAACAUUUCCAGUGCCUCUCCCGUGUAAAGCAUUCCUGAAGCCAAACACGUGAGCAGUGAGGCUUUGGGUGGGAUUAAUCACAGAGCUCCUCAGCAAUGAAGCAGAGAUACUGAGACUCCGUCCUGGACAGGAAUCCAUCCAUUCUGCGUGCUCACCAGGCUGUAUCGCUUCAGCAUCUCCGCGUUGUCACAACUUCACUCUCAUCAGCAAUUUCACCUCCAAAUACGGCCACGGGGGCUUUGUCCUGUUCUUUAUUUGGCUUCUGGCCCUGGUCUUCCC